AGUGAACGCUGGCGGUAGGCCUAACACAUGCAAGUCGAACGGCAGCACAGUAAGAGCUUGCUCUUACGGGUGGCGAGUGGCGGACGGGUGAGGAAUACAUCGGAAUCUACUUUUUCGUGGGGGAUAACGUAGGGAAACUUACGCUAAUACCGCAUACGACCUACGGGUGAAAGCAGGGGAUCUUCGGACCUUGCGCGAUUGAAUGAGCCGAUGUCGGAUUAGUUAGUUGGCGGGGUAAAGGCCCACCAAGGCGACGAUACGUAGGUGGUCUGAGCGGAUGGUCAGCAACCCUGGAACUGAACCGCGGUCCAGACUCCUACGGGAGGCAGCAGUGGGGAAUGUUGGACAAUGGGCGCAAGCCUGAUCCAACCAUACCGCGUGGGUGAAGAAGGCCUUCGGGUUGUAAAGCCCUUUUGUUGGGAAAGAAAAGCAGCAGGUUAAUACCCCGCUGUUCUGACGGUACCCAAAGAAUAAGCACCGGCUAACUUCGUG
rnacentral:rRNA from 1 species